CGUUAGCUCAGCCGGUAGAGCAUCUGCCUUUUAAGCAGAGGGUCGUUGGUUCAAGUCCAACAC
rnacentral:tRNA from 1 species